UGGUGAUGAGGAUUACUGCACUUCAGUGAUGUUCAGGGUUCAUCACAACCAUCUGAUUAAGAUGACAAAAGUGCUUCUGAGCCA